ensembl:misc_RNA Metazoa_SRP Metazoan signal recognition particle RNA
GCCAGGUGUGGUGGCAGGCACCUGUAAUCCCAGCUACUCAGGAGGCUGAGGCAGGAGAAUCGCUUGAACCCGGGAAGUGGAGGUUGCAGUGAGCCGAGAUCGCGCCACUGCACUCCAGCCUGGGUAACAGAGUGAGACUCUGCCUCAA